GGCCCUUUCACCAUAGCACACGCCCGCUACGGUUUAAAAUCCACAGCGCGCGCUGUGGUUAAAAAAAAAAUGGAAUACGUAGCCGGUACGCAUGCAUACCGAUCGGUACCAGCCCGAAAACAGCUGGAACCGGUAUCUACGUUGUUCGGGUAUCGGUUCCAGGCCGGACCAGUCUGUACCGAGCCGAACCGGCCGGUACGGACCGG
rnacentral:lncRNA from 1 species